rnacentral:rRNA from 1 species
CUGCAGCUCAAGUGGUGAUCAUUAUUAUUGGGCCUAAAACGUCCGUAGCCUGUUUAGUAAAUGCCUGGGUAAAUCGUGUAGCUUAACUAUACGAAUUCCGGGUAGACUGCUAAACUUGAGACCGGGAGAGGCUAGAGGUACUCCUGGGGUAGAGGUGAAAUUCUGUAAUCCUAGGGGGACCACCAGUGGCGAAGGCGUCUAGCUAGAACGGGUCUGACGGUGAGGGACGAAGCCCUGGGGCACAAACCGGAUUAGAUACCCGUGUAGUCC